rnacentral:tRNA from 1 species
GGAGAGAUGGCAGAGUGGUUGAAUGCGGCGGUCUCGAAAACCGUUGUACGUUUAUAGCGUACCGGGGGUUCGAAUCCCCCUCUCUCCG